ensembl:lncRNA
CUUUACAGAGGGAGAUUUGCUGAGAGGGUGACUUGUUAAAGGUCGCAGUCAUUUUUGUAGUGGUUGGAAGUGCUAUGAAUGGUGGAAAAUGUCAACUCACAGAUUCUACUCUUCUUCUUGUCCCCCUCCCCCUUUCUCCCUCUGUAAGCCAGGGGUGGGUCUAAAUGGCUUUGGUGGAGAGGUUAGCACAUCCCAAUCUAAAUAGGAAGUUUGGUGUCUCUCCCUCCUCCCUUCCUUCCCACCUUCCUUAUUCCUUUCCUUUGUUUCUAAAGGAUGUGUUUGUAUGCAUUCUGGACGUUUGAAUUAAAAACAAAAAUAUUGUGAUCCAGAAAAGGAUCACUAGAGAUGUGGACAAAUCAUUAAAAUUACAGAGCUAUAUGAUCCAUAAUUGAUUAGUCAAAAUAACUUAUUGAUGAAAUAUACAAAUAUUUUAUUGUAGCACCUAUUUUUAUAUGCACAUUUAGCAUUCCUCUUUCCUUCACUAUUUAGCCUAUGAUUUUCGCAGAGGUGUCACAUUGUAUCAGGAGCUGCGUUUCCAAAACUGAAGUGAUUAUCCAGAAGGCAUUUUAGAUCAUUAAAAAUAUGGAGCACUUAAUGGCAAAAUCUUUAAAAGCCAAUGCAACCCACUCAGUUGAACCUGUAUUUUUCUAUACUGAUUGUAUCCCACUGUAUAAAAGAAAAAAAGUUAGGGUGACUAAUUGGGCCAUUCAAGAGAAUUGUGUGCAAGAUUUUGGUUUUAUUAGAGAAGAUUUAAAAGUAUUUUUAUUAGUGAACCAAAACUGUGUAUUGAUUUGACUACUAUUGUAGCCGAGUUUCAAUUGUUUAGCCAAACCCACUUGCAUUUGUACAGAUCCACAUGUACUGGCACCUCAGAAGACCAAAAGACAGCCUGUUACAAGUCUUAUACAACAAUGUCUUUAUCCCUCUGGGCAGCGAGCAAUGAUGAUAAUGACAAACAGGAUCUCUGUAUGAUGGGGCUACUGUUGUUACAGUCUCAUAUGUAUCCCAGCACAUGUAAUUUUUUAAAUAGUUUCUGAAUAAACACUUGAUAACUAUGUCAAAUAUGAGGGAUUGAAGUAAUGAUUACUCGAGGUGCACAAGACUUAGCUAUGUGUGAUUGGUGGAACCUUCAUAAUUAACAAUUUAAAAUAUACUACAUAAACUUUAUUCCUAAUAGAAAAAGUUUUCCUGUUAAUUAUAAUAAUUUCAAAAUAUACAUAUGUAUAAUUAAUGUUUUUCUUGGUUCAGGGAAGUAUGUUUUUCUGCUGCCAUUUAAUGUGCUUAUUUAUGAUAUUUCACUUGAUUACAUUAUUUCCUUACUGAAGUAUUCAUCUAAUACAAGGAGCAUGUUUCCAUAUUUUAAACUACACAAACCUAACGUCAGCAUUAUGAUGGAUACUUCACCUAAAGUUGACCUGUGUCCUAAAUAUUGAAAAUGUGAGUAUAAGCUGUUCACCUCCAAAUAAGUUUUGCCAGUGAAUUUAGGUUAAUUUUUAAGGGUAGAAAAUGUUUACAUUAAUCUGAAAUGUAAAGAGUCACCUGCUUCAUUUCUUUUGGUGGAUAUCCCCACAGUCUCACCUGGAAUAUGCACAAUAUCAAGGGCUGUUCAUGAACUUCGUGUUUAAGAAACAAUUGUCAUGGCAUUCUGCCACAUAGAGGCAGCAUUCACCCAUGAGUAAAUUGACAGUAGCUACUUGAAUUCAGAUUGAACUGGUGGUAGCAGUUCCCCUAAAGAAUUUUUUAAAAAAUGUAAUGGUAUGUCGAACAAGUGCAGUAAACUAUUCAUAUUCUUCACAUUUUCUGUCAAUUUUAUUUUCAAAGGAGAAAGAAAGAAGCUUAAUAAAUCCUAUGAUUUUAUCAUGAGAAUAAAAUGAAUCUCUUGCUCUUCAUCUACCUCCUCUAUAUUAGCUCCAGGAUUAGAAAAGGAAAAAAAAAAACAACUAAAUACUAGAAUCUGACUUUGCAUUUGGGAUUGUUAUUAAUUUUUCUUUACAUUGUUAGUUAUGAUUUUUUUUGGAAAAU